rnacentral:rRNA from 1 species
GUGCGCUUCAGCCAAACGAGGCGUGGCAUACAGCUCAGUAACACGUGGCUAAUCUGCCCUUGGGACGAGAACAACCCCGGGAAACUGGGGCUAAUUCUCGAUAGGUGAAGAACUCUGGAAUGAGUCUUCGCUUAAAAAGCUUCACGUUAUGCUCGUGAAGUCGCCCAAGGAUGAGGCCGCGACCGAUCAGGUUGUUGGUGAGGUAAUGGCUCACCAAGCCUUUUACCGGUGCGGGCCGUGAGAGCGGGAGCCCGGAGAUGGGCACUGAGACAAGGGCCCAGGCCCUACGGGGCGCAGCAGUCGCGAAAACUUUGCAAUACACGAAAGUGUGACAGGGCUAUCCCGAGUGCCAUCCGCUGAGGAAGGCUUUUACCCAGUAUAGAUCGCUGGGGGAAUAAGGAGAGGGCAAGUCUGGUGUCAGCCGCCGCGGUAAUACCAGCUCUCCGAGUGGUGUGGAUGUUUAUUGGGCCUAAAGCAUCCGUAGCUGGCUAAGUUAGUCCCUUGUUAAAUCCACCGAAUUAAUCGUUGGAUUGCGGGGGAUACUGCUUGGCUAGGGGACGAGAGAGGCAGACGGUAUUUCCGGGGUAGGGGUGAAAUCCUAUAAUCCCGGGAAGACCACCAGUGGCGAAGGCUGUCUGCUAGAACGCGCCCGACGGUGAGGGAUGAAAGCUGGGGGAGCGAACCGGAUUAGAUACCCGGGUAGUCCCAGCUGUAAACGAUGCAGGCUAGGUGUUUGGACGGCCACGUGCCGUUCUAGUGCCGCAGGGAAGCUGUUAAGCCUGCCGCCUGGGGAGUACGAUCGCAAGAUUGAAACUUAA